CCUUGGAGGUGGUUGUAACUGUUUCAAAACUGUGCCAUCUGGAUGUUGCAGUAUACCCACUUUGUCCUUCCCGUACAUGUGCCCGGCCACCUGAUGCGAGAGGGGCACGCAGCCGUUGAGGAAGCGGAGUCUGCCGCCCGCCGGCUGCGGGGUGCCCUCAGGGGUGGACUCGAUCGCCGGUGAGGUCCGCAUUUCUGGGGGGCCCGGCGCCUCGACCCGGAGGGGGGAUGGUGGCUCUGUUGCCAUAACGGAGAGCAGAAGCGGUAACGGCAGCGAGAGUAGGAAAAAAAAUAGGGCGAGG
rnacentral:lncRNA from 1 species